AUUGAACGCUGGCGGCAUGCUUUACACAUGCAAGUCGAACGGUAACAGGGUGCUUGCACCGCUGACGAGUGGCGAACGGGUGAGUAAUACAUCGGAAUGUACCCAGUAAUGGGGGAUAACGCUUCGAAAGGAGUGCUAAUACCGCAUACGCCCUGAGGGGGAAAGUGGGGGACCGCAAGGCCUCACGUUAUUGGAGCAGCCGAUGGCUGAUUAGCUAGUUGGUGAGGUAAAGGCUCACCAAGGCGACGAUAAGUAGCGGGUCUUAGAGGACGGUCCGCCACACUGGAGCUGAGACACGGUACAGGCUACUACGGGAGGCAGCAGUGGGGAAUAUUGGUCAAUGGGCGAGAUCCUGAUCCAGGCAAGCCGCGUGUGUGAAGAAGGUCGUCGGAUUGUAAAGCACUUUAAGUUGGGAGGAAGGGCAGUAAGUGAAUCCCUGGCUGGUUUGACGUUACCGACAGAAUAAGCACCGGAUAACUCUGUGCCAGCCGCCGCCGUAACAC
rnacentral:rRNA from 1 species